AAAGCCGAAAAAGGAGGUCCCCACUGGCCACGGAUACCAGUCAGCCCUUGCCAGCAUCCAGCCAUGGGGGAUAUGAAAACCCCAGAUUUUGAUGACCUUCUGGCUGCCUUUGACAUCCCAGACCCCACCAGCCUGGAUGCCAAGGAGGCCAUCCAGACACCCAGUGAGGAGAAUGAGAGUCCCCUCAAACCUCCAGGCAUAUGUAUGGAUGAAAGUGUGUCCUUGUCUCACUCAGGAUCAGCCCCUGAUGUGCCGGCCGUGAGUGUCAUUCUCAAGAACACCAGCCGCCAGGAGUCGUUUGAAGCAGAGAAAGACCACAUUACUCCCAGUCCCCUACACAAUGGAUUCCGGGGCUCAGAUCUGCCUCCAGAUCCCCACAACUGUGGGAAAUUUGAUUCUACUUUUAUGAAUGGAGACAGUGCCAGGAGUUUCCCUGGCAAACUGGAGCCUCCCAAGUCAGAGCCAUUACCCACCUUCAACCAGUUCAGUCCAAUCUCCAGCCCAGAACCUGAGGAUCCCAUCAAAGAUAGCGGAUUCAGGAUAAAGCCCAAACACUCUGACAGUUAUUUCCCACCCGCUCUUGGGUGCGGGGCUGCGGGGGGCCCAGUCCUGGAGGCUCUGGCUAAGUUUCCGGUUCCAGAGCUGCAUAUGUUUGAUCAUUUUUGUAAGAAAGAACCCAAGCCAGAACCCCUGCCCUUGGGGAGCCAGCAGGAACACGAGCGAGGUGGGCAGAACGCAGUGGAACCUCACAAGGAUCCGGAUGCCACUCAGUUCUUUGGGGAAGCUUUGGAGUUCAACAGCCAUCCUAGCAACAGUAUCGGAGAGUCCAAGGGGCUUGCCCGGGAGCUUGGUACCUGCUCAUCAGUCCCCCCUAGGCAGCAGUCUAAAGCCAGCUCAUUCCAAGCUGUCCUCUUGUGUGGCAGCCUUGGUGGCCUUGCAGGCCAAAAGAGUGGCUAGUGUCACUAAGGAGGAUCAGCCUGGCCACACAAAGGAUCUCUCAGGGCCUGCUAAAGAGGGUUCUAAAGGUAGCCCCAAAAUGUCCAAGUCACCAAAGAGUCCCCGGAGCCCUCUGGAGGCCACUAGAAAAAGUAUCAAGCCAUCGGACAGCCCUCGUAGCAUCUGCAGUGACAGCAGCAGCAAAGGUUCACCAGUCUGUGGCUGCCAGCUCCCCACCAGCAAUUCCCAAAGUGAGAAUCAAAACCAUUAAGACAUCAUCAGGGGAAAUCAAAUGGACUGUCACAAGGAUCCUGCCACAUCCUGAUGAUCCAAGUAAGUCCCCUGUUGGGUCACCUCUAGGGAGUGCCAUUGCCGAGGCCCCAAGCGAGGUGCCAGGGGAUGAGGUGCCUGUGGAAGAGCACUUUCCUGAGGCAGGCACAAAUUCAGGGAGCCCCCAGGGGGCCAGGAAAGGGGACGAGAGCAUGACAAAGGCCAGUGACUCUUCAUCUCCCUGCUGCAGUUCUGGGCCCCAGGUCCCAAAGGGGGCUGCCCCAGGCUCACAGACAGGCAAGAAGCAACAGAGCACAGCACUGCAGGCAUCCACCCUGGCCCCUGCCAACCUCCUGCCCAAAGCUGUGCACUUGGCCAACCUGAAACUCGUCCCCUAAAGUGUUGCUGCAUCAGUGACAGCCAAGUCCUCAGUGCAAAGACGGAGCCAGCCACAGCUUACACAAAUGUCGGUGCCCCUGGUCCACCAGGUGAAAAAGUGCUGCUCCACUGAUUGUAGAGGUCUUCAACAAGGUCCUCCACAGUUCCAACCCCGUGCCCCUCUACGCACCAAAUCUCAGCCCGCCUGCGGACAGCAGGAUCCAUAUGCCGGCCAGUGGGUACUGCUGCCUGGAGUGUGGAGACGCAUUUGCCUUAGAGAAGAGCCUGAGCCAGCACUAUGGCCGGCGGAGCGUCCACAUUGAGGUACUGUGCACACUGUGCUCCAAGACGCUGCUCUUCUUCAACAAGUGCAGCCUGCUCCAGCAUGCCCGUGACCACAAGAGCAAGGGGCUCGUCAUGCAGUGUUCCCAGCUGCUGGUGAAGCCCAUCUCUGCAGACCAAAUGUUCGUGUCGGCCCCUGUGAACUCCACGGCACCAGCAGCCCCAGCCCCUUCAUCGUCUCCCAAACAUGGCCUCACUUCGGGCAGUGCCAGUCCUCCUCCUCCAGCCUUGCCACUCUACCCAGACCCUGUGAGGCUCAUCCGGUACUCAAUCAAGUGUCUUGAAUGUCACAAGCAGAUGUGGGACUACAUGGUCCUGGCUGCACAUUUCCAGAGGACAACAGAGGAGACAGAGGGGCUGACCUGCCAGGUAUGCCAGAUGCUGCUGCCCAACCAGUGCAGUUUCUGUGCCCAACAGCGGAUUCACACACACAAGUCCCCCUACUGCUGCCUGGAGUGUGGGGUCCUCUGCCACUCUGCCUACUUCCAGACCCAUGUAAAGGAGAAUUGCCUGCACUAUGCCCACAAGGUGGGCUACAGGUGCAUCCACUGUGGUGUCAUCCACCUGACCUUGGCCUUGCUGAAAAGCCAUAUCCAGGAGCGACACUGCCAGGUUUUCCACAAAUGUGCAUUCUGCCCCAUGGCCUUCAAGACUGCCAGCAGCACCGCGGACCACAGUGCCACCCAGCACCCCACCCAGCCCCACAGACCCUCCCAGCUCAUUUAUAAGUGCUCCUGUGAAAUGGUCUUCAAUAAGAAGAGGCACAUUCAGCAGCAUUUUUACCAGAAUGUCAGCAAGACGCAGGUGGGCGUCUUCAAGUGCCCUGAGUGCCCACUCUUGUUCAUGCAAAAGCCGGAGUUGAUGCAACAUGUCAAGAGCACUCACGGUGUUCCCCGAAAUGUGGAUGAGCUGUCAAGCCUCCAGUCUUCAGUGGACACAUCCUCAAGCCACCCCAGCUCUUGAGUUCCCACUGAGCCCCCAGCCACUAGUGUGGCUGCUCGGAGCAGCUCCCUGCCUUCUGGCCGCUGGGGUAGGUCUGAAGCCCACCGCAGGGUGGAAGCCAGGCCUCGGCUGAGGAACACUGGCUGGACCUGCCAGGAGUGCCAGGAGUGGGUUCCAGAUCGGGAGAGCUAUGUGUCCCACAUGAAAAAGAGCCACGGUCGGACAUUGAAGUGGUACCCGUGCCGGCAGUGUGAACUAUCCUUCCACACCCCCAACAGCCUGCGCAAACACAUCCGCAACAACCAUGACACAGUAAAGAAGGUCUACACCUGCGGGUACUGCACAGAGGACAGCCCCAGCUUUCCUCGGCCCUCCCUCCUGGAGAGCCACAUCAGCCUUAUGCAUGGCAUCAGAAACCCUGAUUUGAGCCAAACGUCCAAAGUCAAACCUCCAGGUGGACAUUCCCCUCAGGUGAACCAUCUGAAAAGACCAGUCAGUGGAGUAGGGGACGCUCCAGGCACCAGCAAUGGCGCAACCGUCUCUUCCACCAAAAGGCACAAGUCCCUUUUUCAGUGCGCGAAAUAUAGUUUUGCCACAGACUCGGGGCUCGAGUUUCAGAGCCACAUGCCUCAGCACCAGAUGGAUAGCUCCAGAGCCCAAUGUCUCCUCUGUGGUUUGUGCUACACCCCUGCCAGCUCCCUCAGCCGUCACCUCUUCAUUGUCCACAAGGUGAGAGACCAGGAGGAGGAAGAGGAAGAGGAGGUGGUGGCAGCAGAGAUGGCAGUGGAGGUGGCAGAGCCAGAGGAGGGCUCCGGGGAGGAGGUGCCCAUGGAGACUAGAGAGAAUGGACUGGAAGAAUGUGCCGGUGAGCCUUUGUCGGUUGACCCAGAGGUGAGGAGAUUGCUGGGCCAGGCCCCUGAGGACGAUGGUGGCCACAAUGAUCACAGUCAACCACAGGCCUCUCAGGACCAGGACAGCCACGCACUAUCUCCUCAGGUGUGACUGGAGACCUUGCAGUGUGCAUAGUCAGGGGUGGCGCCAAAGCGUCUUCCACCUGCCGUGCGGACCGUGAAAAAUAAAAGGCUCUGCCCCCGGUGUGAGUGUGGCUAGUUGUACCCUGGAGUAGUGUCUGCCCUGAGCUGCCAGUGCUGGGUAUCCCCCAGCCCCAGGAAAUGUGGGGUUGGCCAGGACCCUCACAGCUCUGAAUUUGCUUCUGUUAUUUAUGGCUUUGUGCUGCUUUUUGGUACCCCAUCUCUUGUCUGUGUCCUUCCAACCCCAGGCUGCUUAUGUGGCCCAACCCCAAUGCUGUCAACUAGGCUUGAACACCACAGCGGCUGUGCUCUUCUGGGAGGUUCCCGCUUGCUGCCUUCAGCCAGGGCGCUCCUCAGAGCUCUAUUUUCCUGCAGACACCAGCUCUCCUUCCUGCCUUUAGAUCCUGAGAAGGAGGGAAACGAGGGGUGCUGACACAGUCCCUCUGGGAGAGCUCUGCCUUGCCUGGUUUGGCAAGAGCCCUUGAUUGCCUUGCCCAUCCUCCCUGUCUUUGAUUCUUUUCUCUCAAAAUAGUCCUGAGAACUAAUUGUCACACUGGCUCAUCAUGUCUCUGUGGGUGGGGUGGGAGAAACCUCUGCUGCACACCUCUGUUUGGAACCUGGGGAGAGCAGGAGGUAAAGCAAAGGCAGGCAGGCACCAAGAGCCAGACCCCUUGAGAAGGCGCUGUGGGUGGGUCUUUGUUCUGCCAUUUUGCCUUUCCUGACAGGUGGGGUUGGGGCACACAGACAUUGGAAUAUUUGUACUCCUGCUCUCAUGCCAUUUGAGAGGCUGCUGCUCCAGGCAGGCCAGCCCCUCCUCCUCUUGGCUACACUCAUGUUGCUCAGACUAUAUUUCAAAUAAAAAAUCUUCUCACCA